UGACACUUUGCAACUUAUAUAACGAGUAAAACGUCCCCAACAACAGAGAGGCAUCGAGGUGAUUCAAUCGUCCUACAAAUGGAUCUUCUAUGGCUAGAUGUUAAUGUCAGAGUUCGUGGCAAGUCGAUAGGUCGGAGGAGUUGGCUGGGACAACAACGCGAGAUAUUCUGCACAGGUUCCCGGGUCUUUUACUUCCCCUCCCUUCUCCGAAUCGGAUUCAAACUGUGUACUGGCCGAACUCCAAGAUUUAGCGAACCACGACCACCAGAGAUCAAAUAACCCUGGGUGCAUCGACUGUUCGUUUCCCGUGCCUUCGCGUACACAAAUGGAAUCCCCAUUUACGAAGAUCAGGGUCGUGCUGAAGAAAGUUAUACAAGCAUCUUCGAUCAUGCAUGACAAGGAAUGAGGAAAUUCUAAUCAGUUUGACGAUGGGGCUAAGGUGAUUGGAAAUCACUCAUCAUUAAGUACACCGCUGUUCACCAAGGAGAUCUCGGAUCGAGUUCGGUCAAAUAGUUGUCAUAUCGGUGAUGGUCCCGACUCCUUAAGCGAGAGUGGCGGACAGAAGUGAAUCGUCUGGUAAUAAAAGGGUGUCAGAACUGCCGGACACUACGAGAACGGUCGGUCCAAAAUCCUGUGAUUUUACAUGUUGAAGGAUCUCCGAAUAUCUCGGUACCCCGAGCCGGGACGGGGGUGCUGGUUAAUUCGUCGACCCGGGUGCUCUUUACUCUUGUGGAGGCGAACGCGUACAGUAGUUAGGAAGAGAUGAGUGAGCAGGGGAGUAAGACCGUGCACUCGUCUGACUCGUCGCAGGGCAGGGGGUGAAACGCCUCGACAAUGCUCUAAUCAAAUGUCAUGAAUCAGCGACGGUAUUAUGCGCAUCUGCGGUAUGAAUUUGUAAAUAUGGCUCCAGGCGAAUCGAGUAUAUACUCGAGGAAGACGCCCUAGCCGCGACUUCUCGUUUUCCAGAUGUACAUAUAGAGUCAAGACGAGGAAUAUAGAGCUGUGCAUCCAGUCAUAUUUACAAAGUAGCAACGCUAAAGCAGAGAAGCUUUUUGAGUGCAAAAAGUGGCGUCUCUCACUUUUUCAGUUGCGAAUUUGCCGUUAUAACAAAAAAGCGAAUGAAAGAAACACGCAUAUAUAUCCAUGGCGAAUCCCGUACUCUGAAUGGUACUCGCGUAUAAAGUAUAUUUUAUUCGACCACACAUAAUCUCUCCAACAGAGAAAAUACGAGUUGCGAGAGUUGCCAGGCUACGCGUAUAUAUACCUACCACAGAGAUCGUCCGGGUGGUUCACAAACUUUUAACUCCGGCUAUAUGCAGCUUCUGCUGCGCGUCUCGCGCUUCUCUCUAUACAACCUUUUUUCCCUGAGCAUUAGUCCGCGCGUUUUAACGGUCCGGAGAGUUGUUCGUCUCUCUGAGCACUGCAUUCACAUAUAUGCAUACACCGCAUGUAUAUAUGAAGCACAAUACUGCAUAGAACAAAUGGAUAAAACCGCGGUAUUAUGUAAGACAGAUAUCGAUAUAGUCUCUCUUUGUUAUAAUCACCUUUUUCCAUCUCGAUUCUUUAAAUUUGUAUAUUGAAGAAUAAUCCAAAUCCUUUUACGCGUGUAUUAGAAUAAAUUUUACUUCAAAUUAUUGCACGGAUACUCAUUUCAUUUUGUAUCCGUGCUCAUCUAUUUUUGGCAGAAGUUCAGUCAGUAGAAAUCUGAUUGCACGUAUUCUUUCGGCUCAACAGAAUAUAUGAGGAAGAUGCAAGUUACGCGUUGUUCUCUUUUCAUCGGAGAAAAAUGUAUAAUCAACAUUUUUUCUCGAAAUGACAAGCAUCCGUGAGAAAAAGAUGAAUCUGCUCAUCAGUUGUCUUUCUCUCUCUCUCUCUCUUUCUCUGCAUGGACCUCACGCAAUUAGUAGAGCUCUCAAAGGUAAUUCCAGCAUCGGCGAAUGUAUCAUGGUAUUUGUUUGUUUGUUACAUUGAAGUUAUUGUCGUGGAAAAAGAUAAAAUAAUUUGGCGUAAUUACUAAAGUUCGCAGUGCGAUCGUUGGAAAUCAUUCGGUUUUAUUUCUGAAUAUAUACACGUAAAUGUGGAUACCGCAAUACAAACUGUGCAUGCGGAUGUGCA
rnacentral:lncRNA from 1 species